GUGUUCACUUCAGCAGCACAUAUACUAAAAUUAGAACGACACAGAGAAGAUUAGCCUGGCCCCUGUGUGAGGAUGACACGCAAAUUCGUGAAGCAUUCUAUAUUUCU